GGAGUGACGCGACACGCGACAGUGGAUUCCGGAAAAACGAGUACUGUGGUCUGUCUGAAUUUUGCACUGGGUGGAGAACGAAGUGCGAGUUUGUUGGUUGGUGAGUCGAUUAAGAGGUGGUGUGGGAUAGCAUCGGCCGACGGCCUGUAUAGGUCCGGUAGCGGUGCUAUUUCACAGCUUCUGGUUGCUCAUUAAACCAAUAAUCUGGAUAUACCAUCCGAGCCUGAGACGCUGCCCGCCUGUCUACCUGAACUCUGCCUGACAGCCAGCCAAGCCACUCCGCCCUGAACUGAACUAGGACGCCACUACCUCUGCCUGGAAGUCUGAACUGGACUAAGGAACGCCAUUACCUAGUCCCACCCUGCCUGGAAAGCCUCGCUUUCCCAAGUCAUUCAUUCCCUUUCCUACACGGGGAUUAAUAAAUCGGAUCGUGUGUCUUACAUCUAACUUGUGUCCGCCUCUGAAUCCUCCAGUGAAAACAUAACGGAAACCAUAGUGGUCAGCAUGGCAAACUGAGUGCUGGUUAAAAACAAAAUGAAGCAAACUAGUAAGGUUCAGAAACUGCAAGACAACCAAUGUAGCACAGACCAUUUUUCAAACACGGAGAAAAAAAAUGACACAGUAUAUGGCAAUAUACUCCGCUCAGACAGUUUGUCAACAUAAGAACAACUGCAUAUCAGUUCAUAAGAAGUGCAGCAAGAGGGGAUUUCAUUAUCCCACUGAGAAAAAUGUUUAGUCAAUCUGCAGCCUCUGUUAGUUACACUAAAGUGGAACCCAAUGACAUCAACUAUUAAAGGACUGGACACAGUUUAUUGCUUUGUUACUUACUCACUUACAAGUCUUUUAUUGUGGCUUUGCUUUUAUUGUGUCAGAGCAAUAUAUGUAUUUAAUAUGUGACUUUCAUGUCUGUGCUUCUGCUUUGUAUGUUUCAGUUAGUGUAGGGUAAUGCAGCACAAUGUUGUCUAUGUCCAUGUUUCUAUUAAAUAUGUCCCUUUUUUUUUU